rnacentral:lncRNA from 1 species
GCUUGGAAGGGCGCGGGGAGCCGCAGCCGCGGGUGCGUCCGCCGCCCAUCACCGCGCUUCGGGGCUGGGCGCGCCGCCGAGCGCCGGGAGCCGCCUCCGGAGCAGCUUCAACUAUGAUCAGUGCAUAAAUCUACCUGCAACACAGGAUGUUGGAAAAUUACCGAGAGACAGCAACGUCCUCCCUGCUGCUUGUUGA